rnacentral:rRNA from 1 species
GCCUCCCUCGCCGCCACUCAGACUCCGUACGGGACGGACGACGACAGGGUAGGGGAAUUCGUUGACACGAAUCGGAACGAACGUCUGACUGCAAGCAACGCCGCGUGGGGAUAGAAGCUUUCGGAGUUGUAAAACCCUUCGACCCGGUAAGAAGUGGCCGCAAGGGUUUGACGGUACCGGUAUAAGAAGCCCGGCUAACUACGUGCCAGCCGCCGCGGUAAUAC